UCUUUUAUAGAGUUCCCAGAAAAAUUGUUCUUACAUUUUAUAAUAAAACUACAUACUAGCAGUGCAGUACAAAAGAUGAAGUAAUUUACUCUACUUGGGUGUACCAGAAAGAACUCUGGUUGUCUUGAAUUUGGAAGGAUGAGUGGAGGACGUCAGGAGGCCAGUGAUGCAUAAAGCAUUCCGUUAAGUGAGAUGCAUUCCAGCUGAUGGAACAGCUUACGGCUUUAUUACAGUUACCCAAAAACAAAUGCUGUCAACUGUAUUGAAGAUGCUGAUAUGGAUGUGGAGAGAAAGGAACACUUA